rnacentral:rRNA from 1 species
AUUGAACGCUGGCGGCAGGCCUAACACAUGCAAGUCGAGCGAGCGGCGGACGGGUGAGUAAAGUCUGGGAAACAGCCCGAUGGAGGGGGAUAACUACUGGAGACGGUAGCUAAUACCGCAUACCCUCAGAUGUGCCCAGAUGGGAUUAGCUCGUAGGUGGGGUAAUGGCUCACCUAGGCGACGAUCCCUAGCUGGUCUGAGAGGAUGACCAGCCACACUGGAACUGAGACACGGUCCAGACUCCUACGGGAGGCAGCAGUGGGGAAUAUUGCACAAUGGGCGCAAGCCUGAUGCAGCCAUGCCGCGUGUAUGAAGAAGGCCUUCGGGUUGUAAAGUACUUUCAGCGGGGAGGCGUUACCCGCAGAAGAAGCACCGGCUAACUCCGUGCCAGCCGCCGCGGUAAUAC